rnacentral:rRNA from 1 species
AACGAACGCUGGCGGCAUGCCUAACACAUGCAAGUCGAACGAGCCCUUCGGGUCUAGUGGCGCACGGGUGCGUAACGCGUGGGAACCUGCCCUUAGGUUCGGAAUAACUCCCCGAAAGGGGUGCUAAUACCGGAUAAUGUCUUCGGACCAAAGAUUUAUCGCCUUUGGAUGGGCCCGCGUUGGAUUAGCUAGUUGGUAGGGUAAAAGCCUACCAAGGCGACGAUCCAUAGCUGGUCUGAGAGGAUGAUCAGCCACACUGGGACUGAGACACGGCCCAGACUCCUACGCGAGGCAGCAGUGGGGAAUAUUGGACAAUGGGCGAAAGCCUGAUCCAGCAAUGCCGCGUGAGUGAUGAAGGCCUUAGGGUUGUAAAGCUCUUUUACCCGGGAUGAUAAUGACAGUACCGGGAGAAUAAGCUCCGGCUAACUCCGUG